ACGCCCCCACCCCUCUGCUCACCCAAGAGGAGCCUCUCCACCGAGCCCUGCAUCCUGCUGCCCUGGCAGCCAGUCCAGCUAGGCACUGGCCCAGUUCACUGUACCUGGACUUACCCACUGGCACCCUCCGGAUCCCCUUAUCAAAGCUGAUGGGGGUCGCUGGGGACCCCCCAGCCUUUUGCUAGAGACUGCACGGCUGUGCGAGCUUGAAAAGAAACAUGAAGGUGGGCUGGCCAGGUGAGAGCUGCUGGCAGGUGGGCCUGGCUGUGGAGGAUAGCCCAGCUCUGGGAGCACCACGGGUGGGAGCCCUCCCUGACGUGGUGCCGGAGGGGACACUACUCAACAUGGUGUUGAGAAGGAUGCACCGGCCCCGAAGCUGCUCCUACCAGCUGCUGCUGGAGCACCAGCGUCCGAGCUGCAUCCAGGGGCUGCGCUGGACACCACUCACCAACAGCGAGGAGUCCCUGGAUUUCAGCGAGAGCCUGGAGCAGGCCUCCACAGAGCGGGUGCUCAGGGCUGGGAGGCAGCUGCAUCGGCAUCUGCUGGCCACCUGCCCAAACCUCAUCCGAGACCGGAAGUACCACCUUAGGCUCUAUCGGCAGUGCUGCUCUGGCCGGGAGCUGGUGGAUGGGAUCUUGGCCCUGGGACUUGGGGUCCAUUCCCGGAGCCAAGUUGUGGGAAUCUGCCAGGUGCUGCUGGAUGAAGGUGCCCUCUGCCAUGUGAAACACGACUGGGCCUUCCAGGACCGAGAUGCCCAAUUCUACCGGUUCCCCGGGCCCGAGCCCGAGCCCGUGGGAACUCAUGAGAUGGAGGAGGAGUUGGCCGAAGCUGUGGCCCUGCUCUCCCAGCGGGGGCCUGACGCCCUGCUCACUGUGGCACUUCGAAAGCCCCCAGGUCAGCGCACGGAUGAAGAGCUGGACCUCAUCUUUGAAGAGCUGCUGCACAUCAAGGCUGUGGCCCACCUCUCCAACUCGGUGAAGCGAGAAUUAGCGGCUGUUCUGCUCUUUGAACCACACAGCAAGGCAGGGACCGUGUUGUUCAGCCAGGGGGACAAGGGCACUUCGUGGUACAUUAUCUGGAAGGGAUCUGUCAACGUGGUGACCCAUGGCAAGGGGCUGGUGACCACCCUGCAUGAGGGAGAUGAUUUUGGACAGCUGGCUCUGGUGAAUGAUGCACCCCGGGCAGCCACCAUCAUCCUGCGAGAAGACAACUGUCAUUUCCUGCGUGUGGACAAGCAGGACUUCAACCGUAUCAUCAAGGAUGUGGAGGCAAAGACCAUGCGGCUGGAAGAACAUGGCAAAGUGGUGCUGGUGCUGGAGAGAGCCUCUCAGGGCGCCGGCCCUUCCCGACCCCCAACCCCAGGCAGGAACCGGUAAUACACCUGCCAUGCUCCCUCUCCACACUGUCCCUCCUUUCAUUUCCCAAUCUUUGCUCCCUUCCCCUGUGUCAUAUCCCUGCCCUCUGGCCACUUGUGGAUGGAGAGGUAUUGAGGGACCAGGAUGUGCCUGCUGAGCCAGUCUCCUCCCUGCCCUAAGGUGGGACAGGGCUGGCUAAUCGAGAAACAUGAUGUAAUUGAUUAUUGAUGUCUGCCCAGGUGUGGAAGUGGGGAGUAGUGGCACCAGUGCCAAAGAUUGGCCAUUUCUGCUAGGUAUACAGUGAUGUCUGGCACCCCAGAGAAGAUCCUAGAGCUUCUGUUGGAGGCCAUGGGACCAGAUUCCAGUGCUCAUGACCCAACAGAGACAUUCCUCAGCGACUUCCUCCUGACCCACAGGGUCUUCAUGCCCAGCGCCCAACUCUGCGCUGCCCUUCUGCACCACUUCCAUGUGGAGCCUGCGGGUGGCAGCGAGCAGGAGCGCAGCACCUACGUCUGCAACAAGAGGCAGCAGAUCUUGCGGCUGGUCAGCCAGUGGGUGGCCCUGUAUGGCUCCAUGCUCCACACUGACCCUGUGGCCACCAGCUUCCUCCAGAAACUCUCAGACCUGGUGGGCAGGGACACCCGACUCAGCAACCUGCUAAGGGAGCAGUGGCCAGAGAGGCGGCGAUGCCACAGGUUGGAGAAUGGCUGUGGGAAUGCAUCUCCUCAGAUGAAGGCCCGGAACUUGCCUGUUUGGCUCCCCAACCAGGACGAGCCCCUUCCUGGCAGCAGCUGUGCCAUCCGAGUUGGGGAUAAAGUCCCCUAUGACAUCUGCCGGCCAGACCACUCAGUGUUGACCCUGCAGCUGCCUGUGACAGCCUCCGUGAGAGAGGUGAUGGCAGCGUUGGCCCAGGAGGAUGGCUGGACCAAGGGGCAGGUGCUGGUGAAGGUCAAUUCUGCAGGUGAUGCCAUUGGCCUGCAGCCAGAUGCCCGUGGUGUGGCCACAUCUCUGGGGCUCAAUGAGCGUCUCUUUGUUGUCAACCCACAGGAAGUGCAUGAGCUGAUCCCACACCCUGACCAGCUGGGGCCCACUGUGGGCUCUGCUGAGGGGCUGGACCUGGUGAGUGCCAAGGACCUGGCAGGCCAGCUGACGGACCACGACUGGAGCCUCUUCAACAGUAUCCACCAGCCUCAAGGAGCAGAAGAAUCUCAAUUCCUUCUUUGCCGUCAUGUUUGGCCUCAGCAACUCGGCCAUCAGCCGCCUAGCCCACACCUGGGAGCGGCUGCCUCACAAAGUCCGGAAGCUGUACUCCGCCCUCGAGAGGCUGCUGGAUCCCUCAUGGAACCACCGGGUGUACCGACUGGCCCUCGCCAAGCUCUCCCCUCCUGUCAUCCCCUUCAUGCCCCUUCUUCUCAAAGACAUGACCUUCAUUCAUGAGGGAAACCACACACUAGUGGAGAAUCUCAUCAACUUUGAGAAGAUGAGAAUGAUGGCCAGAGCCGCGCGGAUGCUGCACCACUGCCGAAGCCACAACCCUGUGCCUCUCUCACCACUCAGAAGCCGAGUUUCCCACCUCCACGAGGACAGCCAGGUGGCGAGGAUUUCCACAUGCUCGGAGCAGUCCCUGAGCACCCGGAGUCCAGCCAGCACCUGGGCUUAUGUCCAGCAGCUGAAGGUCAUUGACAACCAGCGGGAACUCUCCCGCCUCUCCCGAGAGCUGGAGCCAUGAGGAGGGGCUGGGACUGGAGCUGGAGCAGGCACUUGCAGCCAGGAAAGCCAGGGUGUGCCGGGCCAAGAUACUCACAGGCUGGCCACAGCUGGGCAAGGCUCUCCGUGGAGUGGACUCGAGUCCCUGGAGCAGGCAGUGUGGAGGCAGCCAUCCCCUGUGAUGACUGGCAGCUAAGGAGGACCUCGGAGUGGACCUGAGCCAGGAAUAACGAAUGACCCAAGGCCAAGGAAGGGAGGACAGAGAGACCCCAGGAGUGGGUGGAGAGUGGAGUGCGCUGGGACGUUGUGUGCAAUAGAGAGCUCUCCACACCA
rnacentral:sRNA from 1 species